rnacentral:rRNA from 1 species
GACGAACGCUGGCGGCGUGCCUAAUACAUGCAAGUCGAGCGAUGAUUAAAGAUAGCUUGCUAUUUUUAUGAAGAGCGGCGAACGGGUGAGUAACGCGUGGGAAAUCUGCCGAGUAGCGGGGGACAACGUUUGGAAACGAACGCUAAUACCGCAUAACAAUGAGAAUUGCAUGACUCUUAUUUAAAAGAAGCAAUUGCUUCACUACUUGAUGAUCCCGCGUUGUAUUAGCUAGUUGGUAGUGUAAAGGACUACCAAGGCGAUGAUACAUAGCCGACCUGAGAGGGUGAUCGGCCACACUGGGACUGAGACACGGCCCAGACUCCUACGGGAGGCAGCAGUAGGGAAUCUUCGGCAAUGGGGGCAACCCUGACCGAGCAACGCCGCGUGAGUGAAGAAGGUUUUCGGAUCGUAAAACUCUGUUGUUAGAGAAGAACGUUAAGUAGAGUGGAAAAUUACUUAGGUGACGGUAUCUAACCAGAAAGGGACGGCUAACUACGUGCCAGCCGCCGCGGUAA